UCCCGCGUAAUUUAAGCAUAUUAAUAAGCGGAGGAAAAGAAACUAACAAGGAUUCCCUCAGUAGCUGCGAGCGAACAGGGAAGAGCCCAGCACCGAAUCCUGCGCGUCAAACGGCGCGUCUGGAAAUGUGGUGUGUGGGAGGAUCCGAUUAUCUCGCUCGGAAACGCCAGUCAAAGUCCAUCUUGAAAGCGGCCACAGCCCACAGAGGGUGCCAGGCCCGUAGGACGGCGAACGUUCCGAGCGAAAGGGUCUCUCAGAGUUCAAGAGUACGUGAAACCGUUCGGGGGUAAACGGAUGAAAUCUGGAAAAUCGAAGGGAGAUGUUCAAGUCCAACUCGCCGCGCGUUGUCCGGCCACCGCCGAUGGGUGUGCGGCGCCCGUAGCCCCGCGAGGGGAGACGGUGUCGUCCGCGCAGCCCACGCGAUGCGUGGUCGUGCUCGCCGGCGUCGGGCCGCACUCAUCUCCUUGUAGUACGUCGCGACCCGUUGGGCGUGCGUCAAAGGCCCGCGCGUGGAGCCGGUCGGAAACGCGGCGCCGCCUCGGCGGCGUCGACGCCCGGCCGACCGCUGCGGUGUCCCGGCGCACCCGCCCGACGGUAAGACAUGCAGAUCCACAAAUAGCACACCUCUCGACGCAUGUGGGCGGCGCUCCGGCGCUCGGAUCUAGUCGGCGACGCUUUACCCAGAGCAUCACCCGACCCGUCUUGAAACACGGACCAAGGAGUCUAACAUGUGCGCGAGUCAUUGGGACCGCACUAAACCUAAAGGCGUAGCGAAAGUGAAGGUCGGUUUAAUCGCGGCGGACCUCCGGGCCCGAUCGCCGAUUGCCGCCGAGGGGGGAUGCAGCCCGUCCGCAGCGACGCGGCAGCCGCACCCCCGGGGCGUCUCGUUGUCAUCGCGACACAGCAGGCGCACCCAGAGCGUACACGUUGGGACCCGAAAGAUGGUGAACUAUGCCUGGUGCUCGGAGUCAUGCAUUGUGGAGCGGUGUCCGGCGGCUGGUCCGCGCGGCCCGCACGUAACCAGUCUCAUCUGNNNNNNNNNNNNNNNNNNNNNNNNNNNNNNNNNNNNNNNNNNNNNNNNNNGUGACCCAAAGGUACCCGGAGACGCCGUCGGACGAUCGAGGCAGAGUUUUCUGUUCUGUAUGAGCGUUCGAGUUCCCUGGAAUCGCCUAGCGCGGAGAUAGGGUUUGGAACGCGAAGAGCACCGCACUUGCGGCGGUGUCUCGAUCUGUCCCUCGGACCUUGAAAAUCCGGGAGAGGGCCACGUGGAGGUGUCGCGCCGGAUCGUACCCAUAUCCGCAGCAGGUCUCCAAGGUGAGGAGCCUCUAGUCGAUAGAA
rnacentral:rRNA from 1 species